UACGUAGGGUGCGAGCGUUAAUCGGAAUUACUGGGCGUAAAGCGUGCGCAGGCGGUUUUGGAAGUCAGAUGUGAAAUCCCCGGGCUUAACCUGGGAACUGCGUUUGAAACUACAAGGCUAGAGUGUGGCAGAGGGGGGUGGAAUUCCACGUGUAGCAGUGAAAUGCGUAGAGAUGUGGAGGAACACCGAUGGCGAAGGCAGCCCCCUGGGUUAACACUGACGCUCAGGCACGAAAGCGUGGGGAGCAAACAGG
rnacentral:rRNA from 1 species